rnacentral:rRNA from 1 species
UACCAGCACCCCGAGUAGUCGGGACGUUUAUUGGGCCUAAAGCAUCCGUAGCCGGUUCUACAAGUCUUCCGUUAAAUCCAACUGCUUAACAGGUGGGCUGCGGAAGAUACUAUAGAGCUAGGAGGCGGGAGAGGCAAGCGGUACUCGAUGGGUAGGGGUAAAAUCCGUUGAUCCAUUGAAGACCACCAGUGGCGAAGGCGGCUUGCCAGAACGCGCUCGACGGUGAGGGAUGAAAGCUGGGGGAGCAAACCGG